CUUUCAAAUGCAGGGUGUGUACAGGCCAGUUUUCACCCCAGCUCUGCCAAGCAGGGAUCUGAGACCACAUGCUAAAGCCAAGAACUGUUCACACAAAAAAUUGUGGCAAAUCUCCCCACGUCACCAGGCAGCUUUCCGGUACACCCAGUGGAAAUAGUCAAGGACAUUCUGUGAUUCUAUGACUCCGUGACUCUACUAGACACCAAAGAGUUCACACAGGAGAAAGUCUUCACCACUGAACACGACAGGAGAUACGACUUCCCAAAUUGAGCACCUCACAGAACUACUUGAUGAAUAUGAGCACAAGCAAAGCACUCUUCUCGUCUUCUUCUGGAGCGUGAGGCCUCCAGUUACUGAGCAGUGUGGGGUGACUCAGAAGUGACAGGUGGGCACAGCACAUUUUGAGCUAAUUGCUGCUCCAUCUCACAUCGGCACUCAUGUGGAAACCUGCCUGUCUUCCCUCUGGUACCUCCAUUUGCAUGAUCUAGCUCAUACCAAGGACAAGAGCAGAAAUCUCAGACCAUGGGUUGAUGCAAGUGGGACAAGUGCUGGAUUGUCACGAGUUGGCUGUGGCCCACGGAGCUAGCCUGUAAAGGGGCCAUCAUUUCUAUGUACAGCUCCAUGACUCAGUGCCCAGCUCACUUUUCUUUGCAUUUGUCUGCAUUAUUGCUAAUGGCAAUUUGUUUAGCACAAGCAUGAAUCGGAGCGUAAGCUAAAGACCAGCAAUGUCUGUUGUGUGGGCUGGCUUUCAUUAAUUCCUGCUGUGACUUUUCCUAGAAAGUCAGCCACCUCGGGACUGCCCGACUGGUGACCCUGAACAGGCUCCUACGGCUGCUUUUUAGUGCCAGAAGUGGAGGAAAACAAGCUAUUCACACAGGUAGUGUUCAAAGAGAAGCUGGAAUCAUUCAGCUUAUGGAAAAACCCAAAUGAACCACAGCCAGCAUUGAAAUGGAGGCGAGGGAAUUGUGCAACUUUGUGCGCUCAGUGAAAUAUUGAUGUUUUCUUCUCCUCCUAAGCCUUUAAGUAUUGAUGUGCCAGAUCUCUGGUUUGGGUGAAAAGAGCACACCUAAAGAAAAGAGAGGGAGGGAAACAGAAGGAACUUUGGAUUCACAGGAGAACAUUGCUGGCCAGCAGUGGUCGACAUGUCUGGAGGUGGGCUGGGAUCUCUGCAGGAAGGACAUUGCGUCUUGUCCUUGAGCGCCUAGCCAAGGGCAUGAGCUAUAAUCCACAGAUAGGUCUGAGUAUGCUGCAACACUCUAAAAGAUGAGACUCCUUCCGAGGGAAACAUGAACCACAGCUCUUGUGCUCCUGGGACCGGACAUCCUCUGUUACACAGCAUAACUGUGAAGCCACAGGGAAGUAUCCGUUACCUACUGUUUAGGGCUGUCAUUUCAAUCCAGGCAUUUUUCUUCUGGUGAAAGCUAAAAGAUAAAAUAAGAUCAUUCUAAUUAAUAACGCCUACCUCCUCACACAGCAUUUUCCACCCACCAAAGAUCUCCAAGUGCUACUCCCAUAUAAUAGACAGCAGAAGGAAGGGUGAAGGAGAUCAAAUAAAAUGUCUUGGCAGCAGAACAAAACCAAGUCCUGCAUCACAGGGCUAAUAAAAAGGACAAGGGUGCCUAUUAAGUCUCGAUAAAAAGCAAAGCUUUGGACAAUUUUCUGACUUCUUGGAUCCUGAAAGGAGUGUUGCAACACUAAUGCAGUCAGUGAUCUGUACUAACAAAAUAUGUUCUGAUUUUUUUUCUUUUUUUUUUCCCUGACAGCAUCAUUUAGGUGUUUCCUGGAAAAUGGGAAAAGAAGUGGGGCAGUGGCUUUACAGGAAUCGUUCCUUUGCAAAGGGGCAGCCAGAGAGCUGGAAAACUGCAAGUGUCCCAGAGGAGGGCAGGAAUGGACUCCUUUCACUGCCAGGUCAAAAUGCAAUGCAGAAAGGAGCAUCAAUAGCCAGCCAUCAAUUUACUGUAAAACAUCCCCUAAUUGAGAAUCUACUACAAGAAGUUCUGACAAAGAGGCACUGUAGUGGGGGUGCAAUUUGACCCUGGAAAAGAUGCAUUUGGCAUCUCUUUGAGUUUGCGUCUGGUCAGUCCUGGAGGAAAACCUGCAGCAAAAAGGUGGCUGAAGGAGGCAAAAUGCUGAUUUUAAAAGUUCCUACCAGUGCCACUGAUGGAAUCCUUUUUCUUCCUGUCUUCCUUUCUUCCCUUCCCUCUUUCUGGAUUUCUUUUUUGUUUGGUUUUGAUCCUUCCCUUAGGGAGGAUCAUUUGUGAAUAUUCAGUAGUUUCCAAAGCGCUGUAAGAAUUGAUGGUAUUAAAGUGGUAUUAAGGGAUGCUCUGCCCAUCCACUCCUGUCUGCUGUGUCACAGCAAAUAAUAUUAAUAAUAAUAAUAAUAAUAAUAAUAAUAAUAAUAAUAAUAAUAAUAAUAAUAAUAAUAAUAUAUCCUGCAGAACACAGAUCUGAUCUUAGGUGCUUGAGAGAUUUGUUUUACACAGUGCUUAAUAGAUGGGUAUCAUAGGGAAGAACCCUGGGGGUGUGAGGUAUGAUGCACACACAAGCACUUCAUAUUUUGUUGGCAUUUUGUUGAAGUUCGUAUUUGAGUAGCAUUCCUGACAGAGGCAAAAUGGAGCAUUAAAAAUCCUUACCUAGGCAAAACAUAUAUUGACUUCUGAGGAUACUUUUUUUCCUGAGAAGGGCUGUGUGGGGAAGGUCAGGGCUGGUGGUUUGUUCCUUGCAGCAAUGCUGUUUCACUUGCUGAAGAGGCUCCCAGGACCUGUGGGUGGAUUUCUGCUGAUGGAGCCCCCAGCUGAGCUCAUGGCCAUUCUCCCCUCAACCUUCAGCAGGUCAGGACCUCCAACUUUCCGACAGUCAACAGCUCGACAGUCAACUUCCCACAUCACCUCCAUUUUUUCUCCUUCACUGAGAGUGUGGUGAGGCGCUGGCACAGCUGCCCAGAGAAGCUGUGGGUGCCCCUUCCCUGAAGAUGUUCAAGGCCACGUUGGAUGGGGCCCUGGGCAGCCUGAGCUGGUGGGAGGCAGCCCUGCCUACAGCAGGGGUCUGGGUCCCAGUGGGCUAUAGGGUCCCUUCCAGCCCAAAGCAUCCAUCGUAUGGUUCUGUGAUUCUAUGAUUCUGUGAUUCUUGCUGGUGGAACACGGCACUGCAAUGGGCCCUGGGAUGAACCCGUCCCUCGGGAGGGACAGCAGCCAACUGGAAGCGUAUCUGCCGGCAGCGUCAUUGAUCAUCAGCUGCCGGUAGCCUGAAGCAACUCUCUCGGACAGCUAAAAUUGCAUCUGGUUUUGUAACAAAGACUCCUCCGCAGUCCCUAUCACUUUGCCCUCCAAAUACACUGCUUUGCCUCGUGGUGGAGAACGAAGUGGCGCUGAAGGAUAACCCGAUUUGCCGCCUUUCCCUCCAGGCAGGAGGGAAGGGAGAAGAAGGAGUAGGGCUGCAGCCCAGAGGGCCGGGACUGGGGCUGCUGCCCACCCUGGACCAUCAGCUUCUGUACCAGGCAGAGUAAAGCGGGGAGAAUCCGGCCCUCUGGAUUUAACGAGCUCCCUCUCCGUUAAUUGAGGCCUUCAGGCAGUGCUGUAAUGCACCUAAUGGCACUAAUUAUUAAUGAAUCAGCCCUGAUGAAUAGGGGGAUGUCUGAAGGGCCUCUGUCUGUUGGUCUGUCGGUGCUCCGCAGAGGCGGCUGAAAGGGAGCUGCACACACUGAACCGUAGCCCUGGAAAGAAUGGUGUCUCUACUUUCCUAUUCUUUCCUCCAAAGCGAAAAAAACCCCACAACCAGCCAACCCAAGAGCCGACCACCUCCACCAUCUCAGCCCCAGCGGGGAGAGGCCGGGUGGGUGCCGGGUGCCGCCGGGUGCCGGACGCGGCCGCGUCCCGUCCGCGCUGGAGGGAGGGAUGGAGGGACAGAGGGAGGGAUAGAAGGAGAGAGGGAGGGAUGGAGGGAGGCGGCAGCCCCGCGGCCCCCGGGGACUGCGGGCUGCGGUUUCUCAGUCGAAGCCGGGGACGGGAAUGAGGGCAGCAGAGCCGCAGCGGCCGCAGCACCCCCCA
ensembl:lncRNA